UAUAAUUUUCUUGUUUGUUAAUUUGAAGUCUAAAGUUGAUUAGUCAUAUUCUCGUGCUUUGCAAUUAGUAAAUCAUGGCAGGAGGAAGCAAACCGGUUCCAACUAAAGAUGAUGCGCAUGCAUAUCUUAAGGCUGUGAGCGAUCAUUUUCACAAUGAUCGUAAAAAAUAUGAAGACUUUGUUGCACUCUUGAUUAAGUUUAAAGCUCACAAAAUUGAUAGGGAAGAUGUCAUAAGAGGAGUGCGUGUUCUGCUUAACGGACAACCAAACUUGGUUUCGGGUUUCAAUGCAUUUUUACCAGAGUGGUUGUACAUCUCAGUUCCAUUUAGAUUUUCUAAAAAAACAAAUAAUUGAUUUGUGAUU